AACGCGAAGAACCUUACCAGGUCUUGACAUCUGAGUGUAAGAUACAGAGAUGUAUCCCCUCUUCGGAGCACUCAAGACAGGUGGUGCAUGGUUGUCGUCAGCUCGUGUCGUGAGAUGUUGGGUUAAGUCCCGCAACGAGCGCAACCCUUGAACUUAGUUGCCAGCACGUUAUGGUGGGCACUCUAGGUUGACUGCCGGUGACAAACCGGAGGAAGGCGGGGAUGACGUCAAAUCAUCAUGCCCCUUAUGACCUGGGCUACACACGUACUACAAUGGCCGGUACAACGGGCUGCGAAACCGCGAGGUGGAGCCAAUCCCAUCAAAGCCGGUCUCAGUUCGGAUUGCAGGCUGCAACUCGCCUGCAUGAAGUCGGAAUUGCUAGUAAUCGCGGAUCAGCAUGCCGCGGUGAAUACGUUCCCGGGCCUUGUACACACCGAGUAUA
rnacentral:rRNA from 1 species